rnacentral:rRNA from 1 species
GACGAACGCUGGCGGCAUGCCUAAUACAUGCAAGUCGAGCGAACAGAUGGAGUGCUUGCACUUCUGACGUUAGCGGCGAACGGGUAGUAACACGUAAGGAAUCUACCUGUAAGCGGGGGAUAACAUUCGGAAACGGGUGCUAAUACCGCAUAAUAUCUUCUUCCGCAUGGAAGAAGAUUGAAAGACGGCUCUGCUGUCACUUAUAGAUGACCUUGCGGUGCAUUAGUUAGUUGGUGGGGUAAUGGCCUACCAAGACGAUGAUGCAUAGCCGACCUGAGAGGGUGAGCGGCGACAUUGGGACUGAGACAGGGCCCAAACUCCUACGGGAGUCAGCAGUAGGGAAUCUUGCGCAAUGGGCGAAAGCCUGACGGAGCAAUGCCGCGUGAGUGAAGAAGGCCUUCGGGUCGUAAAACUCUGUUAUAAGAGAAGAACAAAUUGUAGAGUAACUGCUACAGUCUUGACGGUAUCUUAUCAGAAAGCCACGGCUAACUACGUGCCAGCAGCCGCCGUAA